UACAGAGGUCUCAAGCGUUGUUCGGAUUCAUUGGGCGUAAAGGGUGCGUAGGCGGCGCGGUAAGUCGGGUGUGAAAUCUCGGGGCUUAACUCCGAAACUGCAUUCGAUACUGCCGUGCUUGAGGACUGGAGAGGAGACUGGAAUUUACGGUGUAGCGGUGAAAUGCGUAGAUAUCAGGAGGAACACCUGUGGCGAAAGCGGCGCACUGGACCACAACUGACGCUGAGGCGCGAAAGCUAGGGGAGCAAACAGG
rnacentral:rRNA from 1 species